rnacentral:lncRNA from 1 species
UUGAACAAGGUCACAAGGCUGGUUAAAGUAGGGAAAAUAAAUGAAAUAUUUUACAGUUCAUGGCAUAAGAAUACGCCAGUUUCAGGCAUGUAGAUGAUGAUGAUGGUGGUGGUGGAGAUAAUGAUAAUGAUGAUGACAGGAACUGAAGGGCACAAUUAAGGCCUUAAAGAUCUCCUGGAUGUGGUCACUGUAACCUGUCAAGGCAUGACCUGGAAUCUUUUACAGCAUGGCUUCUCUCCUAGAAUCACAGAGUGGCCAAGAGUGAGGACGUUGACACUACACAGACCUGGGGCAGACCCGGCCCUGCUGCUGAGUGGUUGACUGGCCCCAGUUUCUCCACCUGGGAAACAGGCGGCCUUCUCUCUCUCUACGUCAUCAAGUCAGUGCAGAGCGCAUGGAGCAGCAACGCCCUGCCCAGCUCUGGGCUGCCCGCUGCGUGCUGAGGAUCCAGAGACAAACCAGCCAUGCUCCUGGCUGAGCGGAAGGUCCUCCCGAGCCUGCACAGUCUGAACUUGCUGAGCAGCCUGAGCUGGCGAAGAUGCCCUCCUUUAGAGGAGCGUGCAGACUUGAUAAGGGAAACAGAUGGGCCAACAGAUAAUUCCCAGCAGAGGUGUGUUCAAACAUGAGCCCUGGGGACUAGGUACUAAGCAGAUGGAGGAACAGAGAUGUAAGUAACUUACCCAAGAUCACACAGCCAGCAGAUCUGCACCGAGGCAGUGUGUCCAGCUUUUUAUCGUCAUGGUAUCCAGGUCUACUUUGGAAACGAGGCGGCUAUGCCUCAAAAGGGAAGGGUUCCCAGAGAGAGUGAUGUUGGACGUGGGCCUUGAGGAGGAAGUAGAGAAGUUUUAGAGGUAGAGGAGGCCACAGCAAGAUGCCCCAACAGCUGAAAGUGCCUGUCACGUGCCAAGAGUGGCAAGGGGUGGAGGUUUCCUGAGAGGGGAAGUGGAGGAGAGGCCGGCAGGGCCAGACUCUGAUCCUUUCUUGAAGGAGUGGCUUGGGUAGUCCGAUUUUAAAUGAAGAAAGAGCUCUCAGCGGGGUGCAGUGGCUCACGCCUGUAAUUUCAGCACUUUGGGAGGCCAAGGCUGGUGGAUCACCUGAGGUCAGGAGUUCAAGACUAGCCUGGCCAACAUGGCGAAACCCCGUCUCUACAAAAAUACAAGAAUUAGCCAGGCAUGAUUGUGGGUGCCCGUAAUGCCAGCUACUCGGGAGGCUAAGGAGGGAGAAUCGCUUGAUCCCAGGAGGCAGAGGUUGCAGAGAGCCGAGAUGGCACCACUGCACUCCAGCCUGGGUGACAGAGUGAGAUUCCAUCUCUAAAACAACAACAAAGAAAACGAAAACAAAACAAAAAAAAGAAGGAAAAAAAAAGGAAGAGCUCCCAGGCAGCUCAGUAGAGAAUGGCUUGAGAGGUGGGGGAAGAUUAGAGGCAGGGGAAAGUGGACACCUGCUGUUUCAGCCCCCUAGCACCUGCUCUUCCCCAGGAGACAACCUCCUUUGUUCUGAGGCCUGGUGUUUUCACUGAUGCUGACUGCUUGAGGGGUGGCACAUGACUCAGGUCUGGCCAAUCAGCCUCUUCCAUCCCCCUGGCUGCAGGGACUGGCUCAGGAGGGUGCAUGUGACCAGAGGCCGACCGAUGAGACUCAGUUCUGAGAUUUUUGUUAGACUUGUUGCAGAAAAGAGACUGUCUCCUGAGGUUGCUGAGCUGGGUAUCUCCACCAGGAGCUGCAGGGGCCAUGCUGUCACCAUGUGAAGACAGGUUGCUUGACAACAAAGUUGCAUUAGUUUCCUUGGGCAGCCAUAGCAAAGUAUCACAGACUGGGGAGCUUAAACAACAGAAAUUUAUUUCCCCACAAUUCUGGAGGCUAAGUCCAAGAUCAAAGUGUCAGCAGGGUUGAUUUCUUCUGAGGCUUCUCUUCGGCUUGUAGAUGGGUGGCUGUCUUCUUCUGGUGUCUUUACAUGGUCUUCCCUCUGUAUGUGUGUGUGUCUGUGUCCCAAUCUCCUCCUUUUCUUCUUCUCCUUUUUUUUUUUUUUUCUUUUGGGAUGGAGUCUCUCACUCUGUCCCCAGGCUGGAGUGCAGUGACCUGAUCUCGGCUCACUGCAACCUUCACCUCCUGGUUCAAGUGAUUCUCCUGCCUCAGCCCCCCGAGUAGCUGGGACUACAGGCACAAGCCACCAUGCCCAGCUAAUUUUUGUAUUUUUAGUAGGGACUGGCUUUCACCUUAUUGGCCAGGCUGGUCUGGAACUCCUGACCCUGUGAUCCGCCUGCCUUGGCCUCCCAAAGUGCUGGGAUUACAGACGUGAGCCACUGUGCCCCGGCCAUACACAACUCAUAAUGGAUUAAGGUCCACCUAAUGACCUCACUUAACCUUAAUUACCUCUUUAAAGACCCUGUCAGAAAAUAUAGUUACAUCUGAAGUACCCGGGGUUAGGAUUUCAACAUACUGGAGGUGGGAGGAGCACAAUUCAGCGCAUAACAGAAGCUAACACAGAAAAAAACACAGAGAUGGGGUAAGAGACUGAGGCUUGACUUUGUUUGAGCUCCUGGAUCCAGCUGUGCCUGAAGUUGAAACUAAUACUAUCCAGGACUCUUGAGUUUCAUGAUCCAAUAAGUACCUAAAUCCCACCUCUCCUUUUUUUUCCCCUCUUGAACCUAGUUGAGUUGGAUUUCUGUCACUUACAGUUAAAAUUCCUGAGUAAUACACAGGAGAACUAGUUAACAAAUUAUUAAAAUAGCCCACCCCUAAUUUAAUCACCAUGUGCAAGGACAGUGCUUGUAUGUACACCCAGGUAUGUCUAAUUCUAAUAGCUAGAGGUAGCAAAUAUGGUAAAAAUUGAGCCAAGUUUGCACUAGCCUCUUCCAUUAAGCAGGAAUUCCCACCUUAGCUCUGAAGCCAUGUAGGACAGGGCUGGAGAAACUACUAUUCCUACCAAUGUUUCUAAUGUGUGCAGUAGGCUGGGGUGCUGGCAGGGGAAAAUUAAAAAUGUAGUUUGGGUUAAAAAAAAAAGAAAAAGAGCUUUCUAGGCCAGGCGCAGUGGCUCACGCCUGUAAUCCCAGCAUGUUGGGAGGCUGGGGCGGGUGGAUAGCUUGAAUCCAGGAGUUUGAGACCAGCCUGCGCAACGUGGUGAAACCCCGUCUCUACAGAAAAUACAAAAAUUAGCCAGGAGAGUCGCUGUGUGUCUGCAAUCCCAGCUACUUGGGAGGCUGAGGUGGGAGGAUUGCUUGAACCCAGGAGGCGAUGGUUGCAGUGAGCCGAGAUGGCGCCACUGUACUCCAGCCUGGGUGACAGAGUGAGACCCUGUCUCAAAAUCAAUCAGUCAAUCAAUCAAUCAAACAAACAAACAAACAAAAAACAGCUUUCCAGAAGGGAAAAAUCAUUUUGGGAAGCUUUGAGUAGGGGCUGUGGAGAGUGGGCUCCAGACGUCACUUCAUUGGUUGGCAGGUGCUGUUAGGGGGUGCCCAGAGGGGAGCUCGGGGGAGCGGCGGCUUUCUUCCAGCAGAUAUGGACUCGGGCAGGAGCCACUGAGCAAGUACUCCGAUGGGCUGGGCUUCCUGAGGCUUCAUGCCUGGGCUGAGCAGGGCGGGGCUGUGGUCCACGUGGUGCCCAUUGGCCUCCCAAAAGGAAGGAGCGGGGAGAACUAGAAAUGUGGCUGGAAAAAGUCAGCAUCUCCCUCCUGGGCGGGCUCCCUGGUGGUCCCGGGAGCUGGCCAUGUCUGGAGGAGGAGGCUCCUCUAAGGUGUGCAGCUGCCUUUCUCAAUGCCGCUGAGUUGGAUUGGGAUCUCUUUCAAUGAGAGUGUUUUGAGGGACCCUCAGCUCCAUGCUCUGCUGGCUUCCUCCAGGGAUGCUGAGAGGUGGCCCUUCUAGUGGUAAGAUGAGGGGCCCAUGGCCUUGUGGAGUCAGACACACUGGCAUUCACUGAAAGCUCUGUGCCUGACCUACCUGGUGACUUGGGGCAAGUGACUUCACCUGACUGAGCCUCUUUCCUUCAUCACUGGCAAAAUGGAACCAACUUCACAGCCUUCUCCUGAGGCUUAAGUGAAACCAAGCAGUCAUAAAGGGAUAGGCUUUGGAGUCCCUGGGUUUGCAUCCCAGUUUACUAACUGAGCUGGGUGGCCUUGGGCAAGUCACUCACCCUCUCUGAGCCUCAGUGUCCUACUCUGUAAAAUGAACCCACCAAUGGUACUUAUUUCCUAGGGCAAAUGUGAGGAUUGACAGAUAAAACAUGUAAACUUCAUGAAAGCAAGGGGUUUUGUUAUUGAUUUAUCCCCUCUGCAGUUCCUGGGACAUAAAGACACUAAAUAAAUGGGAUCAGCUUUUAUUGUUAUUAUGAUUCACCGUCACCCAGCACUGGUUGAGGCUGCUCUCUGUGGCAUCCUGUAGACACACUUGUAUGUGAGUUUCUGGUCAGGAUGGGGAGGACAAGACCACUGUCUCUGGCACACUUAGCAAACUCUAUCUCCAGGGAUAGAGUAAGACUCCUAUGGUGCAGGAGGGGGCAUGAGGGAAGGCUAGGAGUGCCCUCUGCACUGUUUAAGCACCUCACUUGUGUCAUUUCACUGCACCCAUACCCACGCCCCAUGAACUAGAUUCAUUUAUUACCCCAUUUGACGAUGAGGAGGCUGAGGUUCAUCAAGGUAUAGCCAUUGAGAUCUUACUGCCAGGGAGAGGUAGAGCCAGGGUUCAAACCUGAAUUUGUACUGUUCCAAAUCCCUUUUUUAAAAAUUUUUAUUUUUAUUUUUUUUUUAUUUUCCCAGGCUGGAGUGCAGUGGGCAAUUAAGGCUGACUACAGCCCCCAACUCCUGGGCCCAGACAAUCCUCCCGCUUCAGCCUCCCAAGUAGCUGGGACCACAGACGUGUGCCACAGUGUAGGCCCCUUCUUUUUAAAUAGCGUGGUGCUGUGUCCCCUGCUCCGUGCCCCUCAGGAUUCUUUAGGAAGUGGCUCCAUCGACCCACUCUCAGUUGAGCUGAAAGAGGACUCGAGGGACUCUUUAUUGGGAAAAAAUGGAGUGCAAAGCCUACUCCUGCCCCUGCCAGCACCAGCCUUCGGAGGCAAAUAAAAAGCAGUGGGCACUGGGACAGCAGCCCCAGAGGUGCACUAAAAUCCACCUGACAAAUGGCCCCUCUCCCAUGAGCCCACGAACAGCAGAGAGGAAGGUGGCCAGGGCCAAGUAGAAAGAUUUCUACAGCAUGGCCGAGUUCUCCAAGGUCAAGAGCAAGCAGAGCUGCCGCCUGUAUUCCUGAGAACUGGCCUCCUGGGGAUGUGGCCAGCCCUUUUUAAGGGAUUUGGGUCAAGGUGGGGAUUCUGACCCUCACCGCUGUGCUGGGACUGGCCUGGGAACUGGGAAGGAGGAUACACUUGGGAAAACUGCAGUGAAGAAUGCAUAAUAAUGGAAGGAAUCUCAUGGAUGAUUAUCAGGUAGCUCUCAGGAUCAAGAGGAAAGCUGGAGACGGCCUUUCGGCAGGAAGGGGGAAACUGAGGCAGAAGGCAGACCCUGCCCAGUGAUGGUCCCUUUCACAUGUCACUACUGGCACCAUCACUGUGGGACAUAUACUCCCACCAUGGGCACUACAGGCUCUGGGUCUUGCUGUGCUCCCUGGACUGUUGACUGCCUGGAAGCCUCUGGGAGUCACCUCUCGCUCUGUAGCUUCAGGUCUCUCCUCCCAGAGUCAAACUCCCCAUGGGCAGGGCUGCUGGAUAAAAUACAGGAUGCCCAGUGACAUUCUACUUUCAGAUAAUUGAAAAAAAUUUUUUAGUAGAAAAAAGUUAUUUAUCUGAAAUUCAAAUUUAACUGGAUAGCCUGUAUUUUUAUUUGCUAACUUAGCCGCCCCACUCAGAGCGCUGGGCCCUGCUCUGGUGCCUGGUGGGGAGGAACUCUGUCUCUUCCACUUCUGGGGUAAGAAUGUCAAUCUUGUUGGAUUGGAUUGAUUACAUUGUUUGGAUGGAAAAUAGAGGAAAAAGAGCACAUACAACUGCGACUCCUUAAACCUGUCCCCCUAUUUGUUUUUUUUGUUUUUUUUUUUGAGACAGGGUCUCACUCUGUCACCCAGGCUGGAGUGCAGUGUCAUGGUCAGGGUUUGCUGCAGCCUUGAAGUCCUGAGCUCAAGUGAUCCUCCUGCCUCAGCCUCCAGAGUACCUGGGAGUACAGGCGUGCGCCACCACACCCAGCUAAUUUUUGUAAUUUUUUUUUUUUUGUAGAGAUGGGGUUUCACCAUGUUGGCCAGGCUGGUCUCAAACUCCUGGGCUCAGGUGAUCUGCCCUCCUCGGCCUCCCGAAGUGCUGGGAUUACAGGUGUGAGCCACCAUGCCUGCCUGUCCCAUUUCCCCAUUUUAAAAAAGUCACCUGCCCGAUUGGUUUUCAAAGCUGCCUUCACUCAAAGAGGGCCUGGAGGGUAGGAAUGACUCAUACAGUCAUUCAUUGUCUGUGCCCGCUUUUCAUAGCACAAAAGAUAGGUCCUUCCCAUCCCGCCCAUCCUCUCCCUGCUGGUCAUCUUGUAUGCGGAGAAUCCAAGGAUCUUCUUACCAAUGAGUUCUUGCCGCUCAUGAGCAGGUGAAGGAGUGGAGCUGAAGUGGAAAUAAUCUAUGGGCUGGACUGUCUAGACAGCAUUUGCUCCUCUGGAUAGGGAGGAGAGCAGACAGAAGCGGGCUUUGGCCAAACUGAAACUCAAGCCAUCACUGCCAGCCCUUCCUGAGCCAUCUCAGAUGAGCCUUGUCUCUGGGCCACAGCCAGAAUUGGCCUGGGCUGUUUCUCACUCCUAUUUCAAAGGAUUUGUGCUCCUAGCAGAGGAAAAGCUUGAACAUUUACAGUGAAAAAUUUAGUAGAAGGGGGAAGAAACAGAGGGUCUUUCUUUCUUUCUUUCUUUCUUUUUUCUUUCUUCUUUUCCUUCUUUUGUCUUAUCUUUUGGUUUUGGGGCAGUGAAAGAAAAUUAAUUUUUUAGCUAUAAAACUUUGUCUUAAGAUCAGUUUUGGAAAGAAAAGCAUCUACUAAUUGAAAACGUCACUUUUCGGGCCCUUAAGUCAAGGGAAACAGGUGCAAGUUUGUGGUUUUAGACACAGCAUUUCUUUUGGAAAAAAGUAGUAAAAGUACCCCAGAUAAGUUCUCUCCAAAGCUGGAUAGAUUUUUAUUUUUCAGCCCUUUAUUACAUAGAAGGUGACAGAUUAGCUGAAAAGUUAAAAGAAAAAUCAACUCUCACCCUUGUAGGUAACACUCCAAUCUCUCUCUCUCUUUUUUCUUUCCAAGGCUGAAGAGAGGGCAACUGUUUACUGCAAUUUUGAUAAAAUUCCCUUUCAAUACGGCCUGUUCCUGGAUAGAGUCCCACCUUUCAUCUGCUUUUAUUCCUAAUCCUGUGGCAAAGCCUGGACCUCCCUUUUCUUCUCAUACAAGCUCGACAGAGCUGGCAUUUUCCUUCUCCAUUUCAGUGACAUGUUUUUCAGUGUUUUGUCUGUUUGUGAAGGGGCAGAAAUGUCAAGGUCAAAAAAGUCUUGGAAAAAAUGAGUAGUAUUUCUGUACCUGCUGAGGGUUAGGUGCUUGGAUGUUAUAUAUCUCUGCAUUCCCACAGUAAAACCAUGUGUGGUUGGGGAGCUUUUCCUUUUUUAACCUCUCUGGGUGGUUGAGGAAUUGGAGGCUCAGAGAGGAGAAGUGACACAGCCCAAGGUGACGCCACCAGGAGCUGAACUUGAAAGCCAAGCCAAGUCCGUCUGACCAUCAAGCGUUGCUCCUAUAAUCAUACUACCUUGCCUUCUGCCUUUGUAAACAUGAGGUGACACAUCAAGCUAGGGCUAUUAAAAUACCCAGAAGCACUUUUCUUCCAAAUAACUCACAAUAUCUUGUCUUUGGGAAGUAUUCAAUAGGUUUAUUUCAGUAAAAGAUACACCAUUGCCAUGGUUUUAGGGAGUGAUUCUGAAUUUUAUGUUACUGAUUAAGAAAGAUGGUUAAUGGAACCUGUUUCCUUAAGAAAUUUACAUCAUAUAUUAGUAAGCUGUUGCUGUGUAGCAAAUCACACCAACACUUAGUGCCUUGAAGUAACAACAUGUAUUAUCUCACAAUUUCUGUAGGUGUGAAAACUGGACAUCAUUUAGCUGGGUCCUGUGCUUCAGGGUAUCUCACAGGCAGCACACAAGGCUUCAUCUGGGCUAUACUCAUCAGAAGGCUGGAUUGGGGAAGAUCUGCUUCCAAGUUUACUUACAUGGUUGUUGGUGGGAUUCAGUUCCUGGUAGGCUGCCAGCUUUAGCUCCUCAUUUCCUGAUGGCUGGAGGGUUCCCUCAGUUCCUUUCCAUGUGGGCCUCUCCAGCAUGGCUGCUUGCUUCAUCAAAGUGUACAAGAAGGGAGACAGCAAUAGGAACAUGUCAGCAAGAUGGAAUCCACAGUCUUUUUAAAGCUAACCAUGGAAGUGAUAUUCCAUCACUUUUGGUGUAUUCUGUUUGUUAGGAACAAGACACUAGGUCCAGCCCACCACUCAAGGUAUGGGAUUACACACGGCAUGAAUACUAUGGGGUGGGGAUCACUGGAAAUUAUGUCAGCAGCUAUCUGUCACACAUGAGAGAAGUGGAGAUGGUAGUCAUAAUAAUAGUCAUCAUCAUCAUAAUAAUAAGGCUGGUGAGGAUAGCCAGCAUUUAUUGGGUGUUCUUGAUGCAUCAGGCACUGGGCUAAAUCCCUUCUAUGCAUUGUCUCCUUUAAUCUCCUCAUCACUCUCAUUAACUUCCCUGAGUUACUACAGCAAAGAGAUUAGGACCAGACUCUGUUGUUUCCACUCCGAAGUCCAUCCCUUUACAUGAUGCAGAUCAUUGAUAAGAAUCCACUGAGCUGCUGAGGCUCCAGGAAAGACCUGAUUGAGAGAGGAGUCUGAUAAACGAAGCUGAACUCACUGCUCCUCAGAAAACUGCAAAUGAACACAACCAGAAGCCAUUUCUUACCCAUCAGAUUGGAAAAGAAAAUAGCAUUGAAAUCAUAUAGCAGCAUCAUCCAGACCUGCAGAAUCAUACGUGAUCAUAGCCAGUUCACACUGAAAAAAGCCUUGUAGGAGAUUCGCCAACCUAAUCAUUCAGCUUACAGGUGCCUGAAACAAAGAAAAGAAAUGCAGAUAAUUGGAUCUUCAUGACAUUUUCCCAACUGGCCACUUUCCCUGUAACAAGACCAAGCCUGUCUCUUCCAUUGUACUCUCGUGAGCUACCUGGGUCAGAACCUGAAAUCUUGGCGCAGAAGUCCUGUGGCCUGCCUAUAAACUUCUCAUUCCCGGCAGCUGGCACAUGCAUGGCCCAAUAAAUAUUUCUUGAUUGAAUGGAAGGAGCUGUGAAUAGUGGCCUCCUCAAGCAAAGGACAUUUUAUCUCCCAAAGGGAAAUCUACUUUGUUGAUAUGAAAGUGAGCUUCUUAAUAGGUCUACGGGGCAACAUUUUGCUAACCCCAUUCAAAUUAUAACAGACUUCAAAGUCAUAAAGGCAGUAAUAUGCUUCCUUUUAAGUGUGUAAUUUGUAUUUUUUUACACCCAGGAAUGGAAAACAGGGAGUGAAAUAUCCCCCAAUUAUUAUUUUGUGCUUUUGAGGCAGGAUGGCCCACUCACCUGUGGGGACUCUGGUGGCCAAGCACCUCCCACCUCAUUCUUGGCAAUUGUUUUCAUCUGCCUCCCUUCACACUGGCCCUAGCUCAGGUCUGGAAUCUUCCCAGGGUCUGACCUCUGAGUGUCUGUCUCAUGCAAUUCUGCUGCCCUGGUAUUGACUCUCAGGACACAGAAGUAUACUCUCUGCCACAUUCAUGACCACCCUGGGUGACGUGUCAAGGCAUCUUAGUGCAGCCCUGAGUCCCUUGGAGGGAAAUGGCCCCAGUCUGCUUCCUGUUUGAGGUAGCUCUGUUCUGGAUCACUUGGUCCUCCCCUCUCCCUCCUGCCACUGCUGAUUGCAUUGUGGUGAUCACCCCAAGGUCAUCCCAAAGGCAGGCUGCCGUGUAGAGCCUGGCUUGGCACAGGAGGCCCCAGCCAAUGAUCUCUGAUGCUGACCUCAUGCUCCAGGUGCCUGAAACAAAGAAAAGAAAUGCAGAUAAUUGGAUCUUCAUGACAAUUUCCCAACUGGCCACUUUCCCUGUAACAAGACCAAGCCUGUCUCUUCCAUAUGGGUCAGCCAUAUCCCACCCACUCCUCCUGGGAUUUGACUUGGGGAAUGUGGACAGAAUCACACAGUCAGUAGAAGUUGGAAAGUAGGCGGAAGUGGCCACAUGGGGUAGGGACAUAUCAGAGUUAUGAUGAAUCAGAAGCAGAAGCCCCAAGUUGAAGAAGAGAUACAAAGCUUGGAAGCAGGAAGAGAUGGAGCGGACACACAAAGGAAUCCAACACUGGAGAACGGCAACGUAAAGGUGGCGUGCUAGGGGAAAGCUCCAGAAUUCCUGCAGCUGGGCGCUGGAGCCACCCUGAACUUUCAAAGACCUCCCUAUUCCAGUCUCCACAAUCCCAGGUCCUGGUAUGUCCCUGGAUUUGGGGGGAGAUUCUGGCUCCUUUGUAGCACCACAAUAAACCCUUAUUGCCUGAGUUAUCCCAAGUGACUCCCUGUUCUUUAUGGGCUCACAAGCCAACACACC